CGGGGUGUGGCUCAGCUUGGCUAGAGCGCUUGAUUUGGGAUCAAGAGGUCGCAGGUUCGAAUCCUGUCACCCCGACGA
rnacentral:tRNA from 2 species